rnacentral:rRNA from 1 species
CAGUAGCCGCGGUAAUACAGAGGGUGCGAGCGUUAAUCGGAUUUACUGGGCGUAAAGCGUGCGUAGGCGGCUUUUUAAGUCGGAUGUGAAAUCCCUGAGCUUAACUUAGGAAUUGCAUUCGAUACUGGGAAGCUAGAGUAUGGGAGAGGAUGGUAGAAUUCCAGGUGUAGCGGUGAAAUGCGUAGAGAUCUGGAGGAAUACCGAUGGCGAAGGCAGCCAUCUGGCCUAAUACUGACGCUGAGGUACGAAAGCAUGGGGAGCAAACAGGAUUAGAUACCCCAGUAGUCACUGUCUCUUAUAC